GACGAACGCUGGCGGCGUGCUUAACACAUGCAAGUCGAACGGAAAGGCCCUGCUUGCAGGGUACUCGAGUGGCGAACGGGUGAGUAACACGUGGGUGAUCUGCCCUGCACUUCGGGAUAAGCCUGGGAAACUGGGUCUAAUACCGGAUAGGAGCCAUUUUUAGUGUGAUGGUUGGAAAGUUUUUUCGGUGUAGGAUGAGCUCGCGGCCUAUCAGCUUGUUGGUGGGGUAAUGGCCUACCAAGGCGGCGACGGGUAGCCGGCCUGAGAGGGUGGACGGCCACAUUGGGACUGAGAUACGGCCCAGACUCCUACGGGAGGCAGCAGUGGGGAAUAUUGCACAAUGGGCGCAAGCCGGAUGCAGCGACGCCGCGUGGGGGAUGACGGCCUUCGGGUUGUAAACUCCUUUCGCUAGGGACGAAGCUUUUUGUGACGGUACCUAGAUAAGAAGCACCGGCUAACUACGUG
rnacentral:rRNA from 1 species